UACGUAGGGGGCAAGCGUUAUCCGGAUUUACUGGGUGUAAAGGGUGCGUAGGCGGCUUUGCAAGUCAGAAGUGAAAUCUAUGGGCUUAACCCAUAAACUGCUUUUGAAACUGCAGGGCUUGAGUGAAGUAGAGGUAGGCGGAAUUCCCGGUGUAGCGGUGAAAUGCGUAGAGAUCGGGAGGAACACCAGUGGCGAAGGCGGCCUACUGGGCUUUAACUGACACUGAGGCUCGAAAGCGUGGGGAGCAAACAGG
rnacentral:rRNA from 1 species